UUUCAACAACGGAUCUCUUGGUUCUGGCAUCGAUGAAGAACGCAGCGAAAUGCGAUAAGUAAUGUGAAUUGCAGAAUUCAGUGAAUCAUCGAAUCUUUGAACGCACAUUGCGCCCCUCGGAGUUCCGGGGGGCAUG
rnacentral:rRNA from 1 species